UUUAUGGAGAGUUUGAUCCUGGCUCAGGACGAACGCUGGCGGCGUGCCUAAUACAUGCAAGUCGAGCGAACAGAUAAGGAGCUUGCUCCUUUGACGUUAGCGGCGGACGGGUGAGUAACACGUGGGCAACCUACCUUAUAGUUUGGGAUAACUCCGGGAAACCGGGGCUAAUACCGAAUAAUCUAUUUCACUUCAUGGUGAAAUACUGAAAGACGGUCUCGGCUGUCGCUAUAAGAUGGGCCCGCGGCGCAUUAGCUAGUUGGUGAGGUAACGGCUCACCAAGGCAACGAUGCGU
rnacentral:rRNA from 1 species